GCAGUCUUAGUCAUGCACAGGAAUUGAUCUGUGAGUUUAUUGCGAGCCAAUCGACUUCGAGUAUCUGAGAAACUUUCUGAAUUAUAUUACAACUCUAGAACAAUGUUACAAAAAAAGAAAACUGAUGAGCAUUAUUGAUGUAAAACUUCAACCAAGGAAAGUUGUAGCAUUCUGUUUUGCUCAUCUUCAACCAAGAAACUCAUGCCUUUUAUGUGCUCUUCUGCUGUAUCUUAAAGUU
rnacentral:misc_RNA from 1 species